ACUCAAAGGAAUUGACGGGGGCCCGCACAAGCGGCGGAGCAUGUUGCUUAAUUCGAUGCAACGCGAAGAACCUUACCUGGGCUUGACAUGCAGGGAAAUCUCGUAGAGAUACGGGGUCCUUUUGGGCCUUGCACAGGUGGUGCAUGGCUGUCGUCAGCUCGUGUCGUGAGAUGUUGGGUUAAGUCCCGCAACGAGCGCAACCCUCGUCCUAUGUUGCCAGCGAGUAAUGUCGGGGACUCAUAGGAGACUGCCGGGGUCAACUCGGAGGAAGGUGGGGAUGACGUCAAGUCAUCAUGCCCCUUACGUCCAGGGCUGCAAACAUGCUACAAUGGCCGGUACAAAGAGCUGCGAUAUCGCAAGAUGGAGCGAAUCUCAUAAAGCCGGUCUCAGUUCGGAUUGGGGUCUGCAACUCGACCCCAUGAAGUCGGAGUCGCUAGUAAUCGCAGAUCAGCAACGCUGCGGUGAAUACGUUCCCGGGCCUUGCACACACCGCCCGU
rnacentral:rRNA from 1 species